CAGCCGCCACGGGAAUACAGAGGAUGCAAGCGUUAUCCGGAAUGAUUGGGCGUAAAGCGCACGCAGGCGGUUUGUUAAGUCAGAUGUGAAAUCCCCGAGCUUAACUUGGGAACUGCAUUUGAAACUGGCAAGCUAGAGUCUUGUAGAGGGGGGUAGAAUUCCAGGUGUAGCGGUGAAAUGCGUAGAGAUCUGGAGGAAUACCGGUGGCGAAGGCGGCCCCCUGGACAAAGACUGACGCUCAGGUGCGAAAGCGUGGGGAGCAAACAGGAUUAGAUACCCCAGUAGUCCCUGUCUCUUAUAC
rnacentral:rRNA from 1 species